UACGUAGGCGGCAAGCGUUGUUCGGAAUUAUUGGGCGUAAAGGGAGCGCAGGCGGGAAACUAAGCGGAUCUUAAAAGUGCGGGGCUCAACCCCGUGAUGGGGUCCGAACUGGUUUUCUUGAGUGCAGGAGAGGAAAGCGGAAUUCCCAGUGUAGCGGUGAAAUGCGUAGAUAUUGGGAAGAACACCAGUGGCGAAGGCGGCUUUCUGGACUGUAACUGACGCUGAGGCUCGAAAGCUAGGGUAGCGAACGGG
rnacentral:rRNA from 1 species